rnacentral:lncRNA from 12 species
CAACAUACUUAUUUUCCCAAUACAUCUUAGUUAUAAAGACAACGUACUAUUACAGAGAGUGGGUAAACACAAUGUUUUCAUGUCUGGUAGUCUAUUUACCUCUUGCCCACAGACACACACAUUUUGAUUUUUGUGCUCAGGGUAGAUGCAAGUGCACAUCCUGCAUUUUGUGUUUAAUAUCAUAGCCUAAUAUUUCCAUGGUGCUACUCAGUCUUCAUGGGGUAUUGUCUUCACAAUCAUUACCUUAGAACACAAGACUGGGAUAAUUAUUUGUUGUUUUUUUCCCACCUCAGUUGAAAGCUUUAUGCAUUGGUGAAGGGAUCUUCGGGAGCACAGGAAAUGAUGAUAAGAAGAGAUGCUGGGAAAUUCUCCAGAACUAGGAAACAGCCUGAAACAAGAAUAUAGACUAGAAGAGUCCUGGAUUCUGUGUCAGAAAGUCUCCAGUUGGACCAGUACCACCAUGGAUAGCUCAGAGCCCCUGCACAAGGUGGAUGAAGUUGCCCAGAUGCAUUCCAGAGCAAAUACCUCCUUCUCUUUAAGGUAUUGAUGAUAGACUUCCAUGGAACUUCAGAAGCUACAAGUAUUGCCAGGUUGUUAUGAUGACUGAAGCCUGGAGAUUUCUGCAUAAACCACAGACCCUGUCUUGGAUCUGAAAGGUAUUUGCAAAGCAGCUCAAUAGCCUUCCCAUCCCAUCUUUGAAAGCAGGGAUGACUUUCUCAUCCACAUGAACACGGUAGAAAUGUUGAGGUGUGCAAAUAGUCUUGAAGAGACCUUCAAAUAUAUCCAAAUCUUUGUGGAUGGCUAUGACAGAUACCAAGGAGAACUCAGCUUCAUAUUUAUUUUUUUAUUUAUUUUUUAAAAAGGUUUUAUUUAUUUAUUUGAGACAGAGAGAGGGAGCACACGUGGGGUGAGGGGCAGGGGAAGAGAGAGAAACAGACUCCCCAGGGUCUGGGGCUCAAUCCCAGGACCCUGAGAUCAUGAUCUGAGUCAAAGGGAGAUGCUUAACACACUGA